GGAGGGUGCAAGCGUUAAUCGGAAUUACUGGGCGUAAAGCGCACGCAGGCGGUUUGUUAAGUCAGAUGUGAAAUCCCCGGGCUCAACCUGGGAACUGCAUCUGAUACUGGCAAGCUUGAGUCUCGUAGAGGGGGGUAGAAUUCCAGGUGUAGCGGUGAAAUGCGUAGAGAUCUGGAGGAAUACCGGUGGCGAAGGCGGCCCCCUGGACGAAGACUGACGCUCAGGUGCGAAAGCGUGGGGAGCAAACAGGAUUAGAUACCCUGGUAGUCCACGCCGUAAACGAUGUCGACUUGGAGGUUGUGCCCUUGAGGCGUGGCUUCCGGAGCUAACGCGUUAAGUCGACCGCCUGGGGAGUACGGCCGCAAAGGUUA
rnacentral:rRNA from 1 species